rnacentral:pre_miRNA from 1 species
UUGUAGGGCAUUCUCUGUCUUUCAGUAGGGCUCAAUUAUUCUAGCAAAACUGAUACUAAGUAUGUCUCCUUCAAGUCAAGCAUCCUGU